AAGUCGUAACAAGGUUUCCGUAGGUGAACCUGCGGAAGGAUCAUUAUAAAAUUUUCAUAUAUUAUUUAUUUAAUAUAUAAAAUUAUAUACAAAAUGUAUUCAAAACCCACACACUUUAUAUAACCAAAAAAAAAAAAUAUAUAUUUUAAUAUAUAUUAUAUAUAAAAAACAACUUUCAACAACGGAUCUCUUGGCUCUC
rnacentral:misc_RNA from 1 species